UACGGGGGGGGCAAGCGUUGUUCGGAAUUACUGGGCGUAAAGGGCUCGUAGGCGGCCAACUAAGUCAGACGUGAAAUCCCCAGGCUCAACCUGGGAACUGCGUCUGAUACUGGAUGGCUUGAAUUCGGAGAGGAUGGCAGGAAUUCCAGGUGUAGCGGUGAAAUGCGUAGAUAUCAGGAAGAACACCGGUGGCGAAAGCAGCUCUG
rnacentral:rRNA from 1 species